GUGAAUAAUGAAAUCUAUACACCUGACAAAGCAGAACAGGAUUUUUUGCACUGUUCAUUGAUCUCCUUUCUCCACGUUGAUAAUGAUUUGAUUCUAAUUAAUUCAAUUUAAUUUAAUUAGUUAAUUAAUAAGAUUUGUUUUAUUAGUUGUUGUUUUUGUUUUUUAUAUAUAACGUGUUUAGUUUUUGUCGUUUUCUGGUGCUGGUUGUAACUGUCUCCUUUCUUCUUCUCCACGAUUUCUCUGCAAGAUAGUUUUUUUUUUUUUUCUUCUUCUCUGCAUCUGGUCGUAUCAUCGUUUUCUGGUACAGAAUUUUUGCCUCGCUUUAGGUGAUGUGGGUAUCACCUGAUUCUUUGUGGGUUUUCUGGUGUGGGUGUUAACUAGGGCCACGGUUGUCUCAUUCAUACCUGGUGAUCGCACAUAUGGAGAAAGGUUUGGUGUGUUCUGGCUUUGAUGAUAUUGCUGAUCUCGUUCCUGGCAGAGAGAGGUUUCGGAUUAAGGCCAGGAUUGUUCGGUUGUGGAAGGUUCCUGCGUUUCUCAAUCCAAAUGAAUCUGGUUCUAUUGAGUUGAGAUGGUUCUUGUCCAAGGUUUGAACCAAAAGGCAGCAAGAAUGUAUUGGGGGAGUUUCACAGUGGCUUUGAGAACAAUAGAGAAAGAACUGACCCGCAGAACUUGGAUGCCUUUGUGUUUCUAUAAUACACCUUCCUCAGAUAUGCUCUUGUCGUCGUGUAUGCUUUAUCCGGUGCUCCAAUUUUCCCUUCAUAAACAGUUUCAUCAUCUAUAAAUUUGGGUUGAGGAUGGAAGGUUUGUGUUUGAAGAAGAUUGAGAAAGUUUGCAAAAAAUAUAGGCUCAUGGUGCAUUGAUGAUAGUGUAUAUAAGAGGUAUGAUUUCUUUUCCUUAUUAUAGAUCUUUGGGCAUGUUGUAUAUGUGUUGGCCAUUUAUUUCAUAGUUCAAUUUCAGAUGUUUGGUGUGAUUAUUAGACUGCAGUUUUGGUUUGUUUUGAAACUUACUUGGUUUGUUUUGAAACUUACUUUGCUGUCAAUUAUGUUCAAUAUUAGUGUGAAUUUUUCCUGUUAGGACAAUUUAGUGUUUUAUUUCAUUAUUGUUAAGUUGUGCAUGCAAUCUGAAAUCUGAACAAAGUUUGAUAGUCCAAUAACAUGGUGAGUCUAUAGGCUUUCACAUUAGGUUAGACAUCAUAAUAAGGAUAAGUAGUAAUUUAGAUAAAAGUUUACAGCCGCACGAAUCACAUAUUCCCUUUAUUCUUCAGUUUCUGGUAUGUAUUUUCAUAUGAUGAUUUGGUAUAACUGAAACUUAUUAUAGUUCAUGUGUAACUAAACAUGAUAUAAGUUUUUCUAUUUAAAUUAGUUGUUGUUCUUUACAUGCCGUUGUCAACACCCUGAAUUUUACUCAUCAGGCUGCAUUCAGCCACUAAAUUUGUUCAAUCUAAUUUUAUGUAUUCUUUUUCCUAUUAUUUCUAUGAUUGGGAUUGGCUUGGAACAUCCGGAUACUGUCUUGAGCUUGGAAUUGUGAUACAUUUAAGUUACCACUGUCUUAUGAUUUUCUGCUCAUUUUACUCUGUACCUUCUGUUAAUUGUACAUGAGCAUGGUGGCAGUCUUAACGAAGCUGUAAAUGCAUAUUUUAGCGAAGGAGACAGAAAUUUGAUGACCAGGUACACCCUUUUUAAUAAUCAAGAGAUCAUUUAGAAUACAUAUUCCAAGAAGCAAUUUUGUUAUGAGAAUGCAAACUUUUAAUAAACAACUACACUGUUGUCUUUUCUUAUGUGUACAUGUUUGGGUUAUAGCAUACUUUAAUACUAUUAUUUUUCUACUCAAAAGAGCUUAGAAUAUAAUAUUGUGGUUUUAAGUUGGUCUGAGACAUAAUUUUUUUCCCUUUCUAUUCAAAUAUAUGUACAAUGUUGUGGUUAUGAAUGUGACUUUUCGUUAAAACAAUUGUUGGCGGAUCGGAGGUCCUGUCUAGGUUGUAUUUAAAACCUUAUAAGUUUGUUUCCCUUGGUUUUUCGUUCUGGUCAUGCAUCAGAGUGUUUGGUGUUAUUCCUCAUUAUUCUCAGAUUCAUCUUUUCGGGGACUGGUUUAUGUGUUUGUCAUGCAGGUGGCACUUAUUUUCUACUUAUCAGAUCUUGUGAUCACAUACUAUAGCAUGGUUGUUUUCUGUUUUUAUUAACAGGUUUCAUCUCUCUAGCUUUGGUUGUCACUGAUGUAGGUCUGGACUAUUUAGUAGUGUUGGUUGUAUCUCAUAAGGCCUUAUCCAUUUUCUCGGGCUGGAACUUGCGAAAGUUCGAUGUGCCUUGAGUCGAGAGUGAUAAGGCGAGAGAUCCCAUCUUGGUACCAAAUAAUUAUGUUACAUUGAUAGUUAAAUUUUGAAAAUGAAAAUAGAAUAGAUGAAUUUAUCUUAUUUAUUGAUAGCAAAAAUACUUGAAGCAACUAUAUUUUCUUUGUAAUGUUCCCCAAUCAUUUCAUUGUAAACAUUGACGCUGAUGUUACUGUUGCAGUUUCUAUAUUAGGAGAGUGUUUAAAUGAAGAGCACCGGUUGCAGCCUUUGUGUAACCAUGUUAAGAAUGGCCUUUGAAAAUAAUGUCUUUUAUGAUCAUUUAACUUAUGCAUUCAUCAUAUUUAUAAGAAAAACCAUGGUUGAGUUGGAAUUAAGUAGAUUUUGCAGAUUAAACAUACUUGAGGUUACAGGAAAAGCACAAGCAAAUGCAAGAAAGUAAUCCGAGUAUGUAUAAUGUAUACCACAGGAACAAAGUGAUGAUAAGAAUGGUACAAUUGUAAAGAAGGGCAGACAAGAAAAGAAGAUAAAACUGGAGACAGAGUCACAUAACAUUAAAUCCAGAUUUUAUCACCAAUUCCUAUUUCAUCUGCAUCAUUAAGUUUUUAAUCCCUCAACUUAUCUCAUGCCAUCAAGAGUCAAAGAUUGCUACUUCUUCGAAGAUUCAUUUAGUUUUUAUUUCUUUUAUAUUCUCAAACUUUACACCCAAGUCUCACACAAAUAAUGAGUUAAUUUUAUAUUUAUAUAAUGAGUUAAUUUUGUAAUUAUUAUUCAUUUUAUGAAGACAUUAAUUAGCUUAUGUUUCAAAUUAUUAUCACAUGAUAAUGAGAAAACAAAGACGUCGACCGUAGAUGUUGUGUAACAUGAAGUUUUUCAGAAAAUUUGAAUAAAAUAUUCAGUUUCUCAUGGUUGUA